rnacentral:rRNA from 1 species
AUUGAACGCUGGCGGAAUGCUUUACACAUGCAAGUCGAACGGCAGCACGGGGGCAACCCUGGUGGCGAGUGGCGAACGGGUGAGUAAUGUAUCGGAACGUGCCCAGUCGUGGGGGAUAACGUAGUGAAAAUUACGCUAAUACCGCAUACGAUCUAUGGAUGAAAGCGGGGGAUCGCAAGACCUCGCGCGAUUGGAGCGGCCGAUAUCAGAUUAGGUAGUUGGUGGGGUAAAGGCUCACCAAGCCGACGAUCUGUAGCUGGUCUGAGAGGACGACCAGCCACACUGGAACUGAGACACGGUCCAGACUCAUACGGGAGGCAGCAGUGGGGAAUUUUGGACAAUGGGCGAAAGCCUGAUCCAGCCAUUCCGCGCGCAGGAUGAAGGCCUUCGGGUUGUAAACUGCUUUUGUACGGAACGAAACGGCGAGCUCUAGUACAGUUUGCUAAUGACGGUACCGUAAGAAUAAGCACCGGCUAACUACGUGCCAGCCGCCGCCGUAA